GAUUAACGCUGGCGGCGUGCCUAACACAUGCAAGUCGAGCGGCAGCGAGUUUUACACUGAUUUCUUGAAACCUCUAGUUGAAAAGAGGAUAAUUCGAGGGAUUUGUGUAAGAUGUCGGCGAGCGGCGGACGGCUGAGUAACGCGUGGGAAUCUGCCCCAAAGUGAGGGAUAACGCACCGAAAGGUGUGCUAAUACCGCAUAUGGUCUUCGGAUUAAAGUCUUCGGACGCUUUGGGAAGAGCCUGCGUCAGAUUAGAUAGUUGGUAGGGUAAUGGCCUACCAAGUCUACGAUCUGUAACUGGUUUGAGAGGAUGAUCAGUCAGACUGGAACUGAGACACGGUCCAGACUCCUACGGGAGGCAGCAGUGAGGAAUCUUCCACAAUGGGGGCAACCCUGAUGGAGCAACGCCGCGUGCAGGAUGAAGGCCUUCGGGUCGUAAACUGCUUUUAUAAGUGAUGAAUAUGACAGUAGCUUAUGAAUAAGGAUCGGCUAACUACGUG
rnacentral:rRNA from 1 species